UGAACUUGGUUUUGAUUUAAAAUGUAUAGUGUAAAUAAAGAUUAAUACAUGGUAUAUUUUUAGUUUGGUGAGGAGUAAAGAAUAAUUAAUAUAUGUAUAAUUAUUUUAUAUAAUAUAAAAUAGUUAUAUUGAUUCUAAAUAUUAUAGAAAUAAAUGAUAUUUGAGUUAUCACUAACACCAGUAUGUAAUUUUAGUUAAUGAAUGAGAGUUUGAACUAGGUUAGUUUUAUAAAGUUGGUAAAUUUAGUGCCAGCAUCCGCGGUUAAACUAAAGACUUUAAUUAUAUAAAUAGUGGUGGAAUAAGUUAAUAAAUUUUAUUGAGAUGGAUAUUUUAAGGAUUAUUAUUUAGAUGUAAAAUGUGUAAAUAAUAUAAUUUAUUUUAGUUUAAGUAGAUGUGAGUUGUAUUAACGAUAUCUUAAUAUAAAACUAGGAUUAGAUACCCUAUUAUUUUUGAUGUAAAUUAGUGUAAAACCGCUUGCCAGAGUACUACGAACAAAUUAAGAGUUUAAAACUCAAAAAACUUGGCGGUAUUUUAGACCACUUAGGGGAACCUGCUUCAUAAUCGAUAGUCCCCGUUUUACCUAACCUUGUUUUAUGAAGUAUGUAUACCGUCGUCGCCAGGUAACUUUUAAGAAUUAAAUAGUUAGCAGUUGGUAAAUUAAUUUUAUUUAAACGUCAGAUCAAGGUGCAGCUUAUAAUAAGGUGAGAGUGGGUUACAAUUAAUAAUUUGUAAUACGAAAUAAGGAAUGAAAUUUUUAAAGGAAGGAGGACUUAAAAGUAAAAAUUAUAAGAAUAUAAUUUUGAAUAAGGCUCUGAAAUGUGCACACAUCGCCCGUCGCUCUCGUUGAAAAAUGAGAUAAGUCGUAACAUAGUAAGGGUAACGGAAGUUGUUCUUAGGAAAAUAU
rnacentral:ncRNA from 1 species